GACGGGGCCCGGCACAAGCGGUGGAGCAUGUGGUUUAAUUCGAUGAUACGCGAGGAACCUUACCUGGGCUCAAAUGUAUGUUGACUUUAUUCUGAAAGGGAUACUUCUUCGGACAAUAUACAAGGUGCUGCAUGGUUGUCGUCAGCUCGUGCCGUGAGGUGUCGGGUUAAGUCCCAUAACGAGCGCAACCCCUACCUUUAGUUGCCAUCAGGUUAAGCUGGGGACUCUAAAGGAACUGCCUACGCAAGUAGUGAGGAAGGCGGGGAUGACGUCAAAUCAGCACGGCCCUUACGUCCAGGGCUACACACGUGCUACAAUGGCCGAUACAGAGGGCAGCUACCUGGUGACAGGAUGCAAAUCUCCAAAGUCGGUCUCAGUUCGGAUCGGAGUCUGCAACCCGACUCCGUGAAGUUGGAUUCGCUAGUAAUCGCGCAUCAGCCAUGGCGCGGUGAAUACGUUCCCGGGCCUU
rnacentral:rRNA from 1 species